rnacentral:rRNA from 1 species
GAGUUUGAUCUUGGCUCAGGAUGAACGCUGGCGGCGUGCCUAAUACAUGCAAGUCGAGCGAACGGACGAGAAGCUUGCUUCUCUGAUGUUAGCGGCGGACGGGUGAGUAACACGUGGAUAACCUACCUAUAAGACUGGGAUAACUUCGGGGAAACCGGAGCUAAUACCGGAUAAUAUUUUGAACCGCAUGGUUCAAAAGUGAAAGACGGUCUUGCUGUCACUUAUAGAUGGAUCCGCGCUGCAUUAGCUAGUUGGUAAGGUAACGGCUUACCAAGGCAACGAUGCAUAGCCGACCUGAGAGGGUGAUCGGCCACACUGGAACUGAGACACGGUCCAGACUCCUACGGGAGGCAGCAGUAGGGAAUCUUCCGCAAUGGGCGAAAGCCUGACGGAGCAACGCCGCGUGAGUGAUGAAGGUCUUCGGAUCGUAAAACUCUGUUAUUAGGGAAGAACAUAUGUGUAAGUAACUGUGCACAUCUUGACGGUACCUAAUCAGAAAGCCACGGCUAACUACGUCG